rnacentral:rRNA from 1 species
GACGAACGCUGGCGGCAUGCUUAACACAUGCAAGUCGAACGGAAAGGCCCUGCUUUUGUGGGGUGCUCGAGUGGCGAACGGGUGAGUAACACGUGAGUAACCUGCCCUUGACUUUGGGAUAACUUCAGGAAACUGGGGCUAAUACCGGAUAGGAGCUCCCGCUGCAUGGUGGGGGUUGGAAAGUUUCGGCGGUUGGGGAUGGACUCGCGGCUUAUCAGCUUGUUGGUGGGGUAGUGGCUUACCAAGGCUUUGACGGGUAGCCGGCCUGAGAGGGUGACCGGCCACAUGGGGACUGAGAUACGGCCCGGACUCGUCCGGGAGGCAACAGUGGAGAAUGGAGCACAGUGGGCGGAAGCGUGAUGUAGCAACGCCGCGUGGGGGAUGACGGCCUGCGGGUUGUAUUCCGCUUUCGCUUGUGACGAAGCGAGAGUGACGGUACUGGGUAAAUAAGCACCGGCUAACUACGUG